UGUAACAAUAAAAAUGAUCAAAUCUAAAAUUUCUAUUGAAUUUCAGAAUUUGGCACAUAGAAUUUCAGAAUUUGGCACAUACCUUUCACACCUCGAUACAUAAUCUGAAACUCAUGCUUUAUCUCAAAUUUUUGAAGUUUUAUCUUUAAUGAAAUAUAAAUGAAAGGGGGAGCAAUUCAAAAAGUCAAAUUGGAAACAUUUGGAUGAAAUAGGGGGAGACUUCACUCUCAUAUUUGAAAAGCUGAAAUUCAGCAACUUGAGCCCU
rnacentral:lncRNA from 1 species